AAAGUACUCCCUCCGUCCCAAAAUUCUUGUCUUAGAUUUGUCUAGAUACGAAUGUAUCAAGUCACAUUUUAGUAUNAAGUCACAUUUUAGUAUUAGAUACAUCCGUAUCUAGACAAAUCUAAGACAAGAAAUUUGGGACAGAGGGAGUAGUUG
rnacentral:pre_miRNA from 1 species